CCUACGGGAGGCAGCAGUGAGGAAUAUUGGUCAAUGGACGCGAGCCUGAACCAGCCAAGUAGCGUGAAGGAUGACUGCCCUACGGGUUGUAAACUUCUUUUAUAAAGGAAUAAAGUGAUGCACGUGUGCCUUUUUGUAUGUACUUUAUGAAUAAGGAUCGGCUAACUCCGUGCCAGCAGCCGCGGUAAUACGGAGGAUCCGAGCGUUAUCCGGAUUUAUUGGGUUUAAAGGGAGCGUAGGUGGAUUGUUAAGUCAGUUGUGAAAGUUUGCGGCUCAACCGUAAAAUUGCAGUUGAAACUGGCAGUUCUUAGGACAGGUGAGGUGGGCGGAAAUUGUUGUUG
rnacentral:rRNA from 1 species